rnacentral:tRNA from 1 species
AAGAGAUUAAGAAAUAAAAUAGCUGCUAACUAAUUUUAUAAGCGGUUAAAAUCCGUUUAUCUCUUA